rnacentral:misc_RNA from 1 species
UGGUUCUGGCAUNGAUGAAGAACGCAGCGAAAUGCGAUAAGUAGUGUGAAUUGCAGAAUUCAGUGAAUCAUCGAAUCUUUGAACGCACAUUGCGCCCCUUGGUAUUCCAUGGGGCAUGCCUGUUCGAGCGUCAUUUGAACCCUCAAGCUCUGCUUGGUGUUGGGUGUUUGUCCCGCCAUUGCGCGUUGGACUCGCCUUAAAGCAAUUGGCAGCCAUGUAAUCCGGCUUUGAGCGCAGCACAUUGCGUACUCUCUCCCGGUGCAGUAGGCCUCCAGAAGCCUUUUUUUACUCUUGACCUCGGAUCAGGUAGGGAUACCCGCUGA